AGAGUUUGAUCCUGGCUCAGGAUGAACGCUGGCGGCGUGCUUAACACAUGCAAGUCGAACGGGAAUGCCGCGCUGAUGCGAUUUCGGUCAAAUCAUGUGGCAUUCGAGUGGCGGACGGGUGAGUAACGCGUGGGUAACCUGCCUUACACAGGGGGAUAACACCUGGAAACAGGUGCUAAUACCGCAUAAGCGCACAGGGCCGCAUGGCCCGGUGUGAAAAACUCCGGUGGUGUAAGAUGGACCCGCGUCUGAUUAGCUUGUUGGCGGGGUAGGGGCCCACCAAGGCGACGAUCAGUAGCCGGCCUGAGAGGGUGGACGGCCACAUUGGGACUGAGACACGGCCCAAACUCCUACGGGAGGCAGCAGUGGGGGAUAUUGGACAAUGGGGGAAACCCUGAUCCAGCGACGCCGCGUGAGUGAAGAAGUAUUUCGGUAUGUAAAGCUCUGUCAGCAGGGAAGAAAGAAAUGACGGUACCUGACCAAGAAGCCCCGGCUAACUACGUGCCAGCAGCCGCGGUAAUACGUAGGGGGCAAGCGUUAUCCGGAAUUACUGGGUGUAAAGGGAGCGUAGACGGUGAUGCAAGUCUGGAGUGAAAGGCGGGGGCCCAACCCCCGGACUGCUCUGGAAACUGUGUAACUUGAGUGCAGGAGAGGUAAGCGGAAUUCCUAGUGUAGCGGUGAAAUGCGUAGAUAUUAGGAGGAACACCAGUGGCGAAGGCGGCUUACUGGACUGUAACUGACGUUGAGGCUCGAAAGCGUGGGGAGCAAACAGAAGUAGAUACCCUGGUAGUCCACGCCGUAAACG
rnacentral:rRNA from 1 species